rnacentral:rRNA from 1 species
UACGUAGGCAGCGAGCGUUGUUCGGAAUUACUGGGCGUAAAGCGCACGUAGGCGGCGACUCAAGUCAGAGGUGAAAGCCCGGGGCUCAACCCCGGAACUGCCUUUGAAACUAGGUUGCUAGAAUCUUGGAGAGGUCAGUGGAAUUCCGAGUGUAGAGGUGAAAUUCGUAGAUAUUCGGAAGAACACCAGUGGCGAAGGCGACUGACUGGACAAGUAUUGACGCUGAGGUGCGAAAGCGUGGGGAGCAAACAGG